CAAUUCCCACGGAGAUAUCCCGGAUACCCUACAUACCCCACUGUUGGCGGUUAUUGAUAACCGUGAUUUACACACAUCUGGAUGGAUUAAGGAGAGCCGGCCUGAACGAAUGAAGCUGAGAUACAGAAAUGUGUGUGCAUCAGUGAUCACUUUCAUCCAGAUUUCCCGAACAAAUCCAAAGCUUACCUCACCUGUUUGACGUUACAUGUGUUGUGUGAUACCUUACUUGUGUGAUCUCAUUUAUGUUGUACAAUUAAAGUAUAAAGCAUUUUUAUAAUAAAUAUUUUUCUUACAAUUAUA